rnacentral:rRNA from 1 species
UACGUAGGCAGCAGGCGUUGUUCGGAGUUACUGGGCGUAAAGGGUGUGUAGGCGGUCUUCUAAGUUUGGUGUGAAAUCUCCCGGCUCAACUGGGAGGGUGCGCCGAAAACUGGGAGGCUAGAGUGCUGGAUGGGAGAGUGGAAUUCCUGGUGUAGCGGUGAAAUGCGUAGAUAUCAGGAGGAACACCGGUGGUGUAGACGGCUCUCUGGACAGUAACUGACGCUGAGACACGAAAGCGUGGGUAGCAAACAGG